GUGCAUCGGUGAAGAUUGUAGCGCAAGAUGUGAAGGCAUGGCGUGUGAAGCCAGAUGCUUAGGAAACGACUGUGAAGCUGGGUGUCGCAGUUUCUCUUGCAAGUAUCUAGUGAAUGGAGAUUUCAAAGAAGGUGGCGAAACCUGGUCAGAACAUUAUCCCCAAUACGAUAACGCGCCAAUGAAACAAGAAAACCACUACUACUAAUAUAUCGCA